GCGGAUGUGGCGGAAUGGCAGACGCAGCAGACUCAAAAUCUGCCGCCCACAAAGCGUGCGGGUUCAAGUCCCGCCAUCCGCA
rnacentral:tRNA from 1 species